GACGAACGCUGGCGGCGUGCCUAAUACAUGCAAGUAGAACGCUGAAGAGAGGAGCUUGCUCUUCUUGGAUGAGUUGCGAACGGGUGAGUAACGCGUAGGUAACCUGCCUUGUAGCGGGGGAUAACUAUUGGAAACGAUAGCUAAUACCGCAUAACAAUGGAUGACACAUGUCAUUUAUUUGAAAGGGGCAAUUGCUCCACUACAAGAUGGACCUGCGUUGUAUUAGCUAGUAGGUGAGGUAACGGCUCACCUAGGCGACGAUACAUAGCCGACCUGAGAGGGUGAUCGGCCACACUGGGACUGAGACACGGCCCAGACUCCUACGGGAGGCAGCAGUAGGGAAUCUUCGGCAAUGGGGGCAACCCUGACCGAGCAACGCCGCGUGAGUGAAGAAGGUUUUCGGAUCGUAAAGCUCUGUUGUAAGUCAAGAACGAGUGUGAGAGUGGAAAAUUCACACUGUGACGGUAGCUUACCAGAAAGGGACGGCUAACUACGUGCCAGCAGCCGCGGUAAUACGUAGGUCCCGAGCGUUGUCCGGAUUUAUUGGGCGUAAAGCGAGCGCAGGCGGUUUGAUAAGUCUGAAGUUAAAGGCUGUGGCUCAACCAUAGUUCGCUUUGGAAACUGUCAAACUUGAGUGCAGAAGGGGAGAGUGGAAUUCCAUGUGUAGCGGUGAAAUGCGUAGAUAUAUGGAGGAACACCGGUGGCGAAAGCGGCUCUCUGGUCUGUAACUGACGCUGAGGCUCGAAAGCGUGGGGAGCGAACAGGAUUAGAUACCCUGGUAGUCCACGCCGUAAACGAUGAGUGCUAGGUGUUGGAUCCUUUCCGGGAUUCAGUGCCGCAGCUAACGCAUUAAGCACUCCGCCUGGGGAGUACGACCGCAAGGUUGAAACUCAAAGGAAUUGACGGGGGCCCGCACAAGCGGUGGAGCAUGUGGUUUAAUUCGAAGCAACGCGAAGAACCUUACCAGGUCUUGACAUCCCGAUGCUAUUUCUAGAGAUAGAAAGUUACUUCGGUACAUCGGUGACAGGUGGUGCAUGGUUGUCGUCAGCUCGUGUCGUGAGAUGUUGGGUUAAGUCCCGCAACGAGCGCAACCCCUAUUGCUAGUUGCCAUCAUUCAGUUGGGCACUCUAGCGAGACUGCCGGUAAUAAACCGGAGGAAGGUGGGGAUGACGUCAAAUCAUCAUGCCCCUUAUGACCUGGGCUACACACGUGCUACAAUGGUUGGUACAACGAGUUGCGAGUCGGUGACGGCAAGCUAAUCUCUUAAAGCCAAUCUCAGUUCGGAUUGUAGGCUGCAACUCGCCUACAUGAAGUCGGAAUCGCUAGUAAUCGCGGAUCAGCACGCCGCGGUGAAUACGUUCCCGGGCCU
rnacentral:rRNA from 1 species